CCAUUUAGACUUCAACUUACCUGUAAACAGCUUUAGUCUGGAGUUGAAAAGGAGUACCAAAUUGCCUUUCUGAAAGUUUCGUUGGAUAAUCCUUCGAUCAUGGUACUUUUUCAUCCUUUCCUUGUAAAGAUCUGCUCUUUCAUAUGCAUUUAGAUGAAAUUCAUCCAUCUUGUUCAGUUGCCCCAAUCUCAUAUUAAUAGCAUCAUCCCAGUUCAGGUUAAGAUUCUUCAGUGCCCAC
rnacentral:lncRNA from 1 species